rnacentral:rRNA from 1 species
AUAUUGGUCAAUGGGCGGAAGCCUGAACCAGCCAAGUCGCGUGAGGGAUUAAGGCCCUAUGGGUCGUAAACCUCUUUUGUUAGGGAGCAGGGUCGUCCACGUGUGGGCGUAUGGAGAGUACCUGAAGAAAAAGCAUCGGCUAACUCCGUGCCAGCAGCCGCGGUAAUACGGAGGAUGCGAGCGUUAUCCGGAUUUAUUGGGUUUAAAGGGUGCGUAGGCGGGACCUUAAGUCAGCGGUAAAAUUGCGGUGCUCAACGCCGUAGAGCCGUUGAAACUGGGGUUCUUGAGUGAGCGAGAAGUAUGCGGAAUGCGUGGUGUAGCGGUGAAAUGCAUAGAUAUCACGCAGAACCCCGAUUGCGAAGGCAGCAUACCGGCGCUCAACUGACGCUGAGGCACGAAAGUGCGGGUAUCGAACAGG